GGCCGACUGGUGUAGUGGUUAUCACGUCUCGUUCACAAAGGUGAAUUAAUUGGAAACAUUUCCACCGAGAAGGUGCCAGGUUCGAUCCCUGGGUCGGUCA